rnacentral:rRNA from 1 species
AUUGAACGCUGGCGGAAUGCUUUACACAUGCAAGUCGAACGGCAGCACGGACUUCGGUCUGGUGGCGAGUGGCGAACGGGUGAGUAAUGUAUCGGAACGUGCCCAGUCGUGGGGGAUAACGUAGUGAAAAUUACGCCAAUACCGCAUACGAUCUAUGGCUGAAAGCGGGGGAUCGCAAGACCUCGCGCGAUUGGCGCGGCCGAUAUCAGAUUAGGUAGUUGGUGGGGUAAAGGCCCACCAAGCCAACGAUCUGUAGCUGGUCUGAGAGGACGACCAGCCACACUGGAACUGAGACACGGUCCAGACUCCUACGGGAGGCAGCAGUGGGGAAUUUUGGACAAUGGGCGAAAGCCUGAUCCAGCCAUUCCGCGUGCAGGAUGAAGGCCCUCGGGUUGUAAACUGCUUUUGUACAGAACGAAAAGGUUUCUACUAAUACUAGGAGCUCAUGACGGUACUGUAAGAAUAAGCACCGGCUAACUACGUGCCAGCAGCCGCCGUAA